UGGGGAAUAUUGCACAAUGGGCGCAAGCCUGAUGCAGCAAUGCCGCGUGAGUGAAGACGGCCUUAGGGUUGUAAAACUCUUUCGCUAGGGAAGAUAAUGACGGUACCUAGUAAAGAAGCCCCGGCUAACUCCGUGCCAGCAGCCGCGGUAAUACGGAGGGGGCUAGCGUUGUUCGGAAUUACUGGGCGUAAAGCGCGCGUAGGCGGACUGAUCAGUCAGGGGUGAAAUCCCGGGGCUCAACCCCGGAACUGCCUUUGAUACUGUCAGUCUUGAGUCCGGAAGAGGCGAGUGGAAUACCGAGUGUAGAGGUGAAAUUCGUAGAUAUCAGGAGGAACACCGGUGGCGAAGGCGGCUACCUGGACCGGUUCUGACGCUGAGGCGCGAAAGCGUGGGGAGCAAAACAGGAUUAGAUACCCUGGUAGUCCACGCUGUAAACGAUGGGUGCUAGAUGUUGGGAUUUUCGGAUUUCAGUGUCGCAGCUAACGCAUUAAGCACUCCGCCUGGGAGUACGGCCGCAAGGUUAAAAC
rnacentral:rRNA from 1 species